rnacentral:rRNA from 1 species
CCUACGGGUGGCAGCAGUGAGGAAUAUUGGUCAAUGGACGAGAGUCUGAACCAGCCAAGUAGCGUGAAGGAUGACUGCCCUAUGGGUUGUAAACUUCUUUUAUAUGGGAAUAAAACGUUCCACGUGUGGGAUUUUGUAUGUACCAUAUGAAUAAGGAUCGGCUAACUCCGUGCCAGCAGCCGCGGUAAUACGGAGGAUCCGAGCGUUAUCCGGAUUUAUUGGGUUUAAAGGGAGCGUAGGUGGAUUGUUAAGUCAGUUGUGAAAGUUUGCGGCUCAACCGUAAGAUUGCAGUUGAAACUGGCAGUCUUGAGUACAGUAGAGGUGGGCGGAAUUCGUGGUGUAGCGGUGAAAUGCUUAGAUAUCACGAAGAACUCCGGUUGCGAAGGCAGUUCACUGGACUGCAACUGACACUGAGGCUCGAAAGUGUGGGUAUCAAACAGGAUUAGAUACCCGAGUAGUC